UACAGAGGUCUCAAGCGUUGUUCGGAUUCAUUGGGCGUAAAGGGUGCGUAGGCGGUGCGGCAAGUUGGGAGUGAAAUCUCUGGGCUUAACCCAGAGGCUGCUUCCAAAACUGCUGUGCUUGAGUGUGGGAGAGGCGCGUGGAAUUGCAGGUGUAGCGGUGAAAUGCGUAGAUAUCUGCAGGAACACCCGUGGCGAAAGCGGCGCGCUGGACCACUACUGACGCUGAGGAACGAAAGCUAGGGGAGCAAACAGG
rnacentral:rRNA from 1 species